ACCAUCAGACUGGACUUGGGACCUAACACCGCAGUGACAAGUUUUGAUUCAACAGCAGCAGGCGAUGGAGGUGGGCGCCAGGCAAAGGCUCCUGCUGACUGAGCGGACGCAGCCGGGACACAGAGCCUGGGUGAUGUGUAGACCUCAAACUUCUCUUGCUGUGAGGAUUUGAAGUCAAAGGGCGGACAGGACAGCUGCCUGUUAUUACCCGGCACACCAGGAAGUGAUUUGCUGCCAAAGAGAAGAGAGGAGGAGAGGGAUUAGCGUGCUCACGCCACACAGACGGACCUCUUGCACCUGGAAGAAACUGAGGCAGAGAGGAGUGUGACAACCAUGCCAGGAAUCGAGUCACAAGCCAUGGAGAGCCCCGCAAGCCGUCUUCCUGACUCCACAGGCUGCUAGCCCAACAGCUAUCCCACAGCUUGUGGAAGGCUUCCCUGAGGUGCCGCUGUGUGGUUUGGAAUAAGCGUGUUGAAUUAGAUCCACCAUAACUAAGCCACCAUUCAAUGCCACGAUGUCUUACCAUGUCCCCUUGGGAGACACGGCAGCAUGGUAGUUUGGAUCUAGGAUCAAAUGCUGCUCAAUUUACUUACUCCACAGAAUAAUAGAGCCCCAACCCUGCCUGUUUGCAAAGGGGUGGCUUGUCGUUCAUUUACCCACUCAUUCACCCCUCGAGGGAGCACAGGCCACUGAGGCUAUUCUGUGGGCUUCUGAAAUGGAUGCAGGCAAAACCAGAGUUCCUUUUAAAUGACCAUGAAAUAAAAAGAUGGUCACAUCAUUUUUGGAACGAAACCUAGAGAUAGAAGAUGAUCUUUCCUUCCACUCCCUCAGCUUGCUGUCCCUGGGCCCCCAUUCCCACAGAAGGAGGUGUGGGUUGCGGCUGCUAGCCUGCUAAUUCUGAACACCCAUGCGCUGGAAUUUGGAAGGAAUGUGUGCAGUGCUCAAUACAAAGCUCAUUUGGCCUCAGGGACCAUUUUAAUUAAAUUAAUUAUCUCUAGAAGAAACGCUUAAAGCUGUUUAGGCCUGAACAAUAGGUACUUGUUCUCAGCUCUAAUACGAGCCCGUGGUUCAGAGCAUCCUUUUGGCGAGUUGAGGACAAUAUCUUACCAGAUACUUAAAAAGGCAUACACCCCACACUCUGUCGUGCUGACAGAUGCCCGUGCACACCUACAAACACACUCUCCUUGGUCGUUCCUCCCAGCCUUCGCUGUUGGUCUGUCUUGCAUUCUCAAUAGUCCCUAGGAUCAUCUUCCGCUCUUUGGAAAGAAGAAGAAAAAAAAAAGGCGGAAGGGCGAAUGCAGCAUCCCUGAGGCACUGGGGAGCAUCACCUCUGCAGCCGGUGCCCCUCCUGCCGCCUGCCCCACUCACGCACCCUUCAAGAGCACCAGGCUGAUCGUCAACUGGAUCGAGGCCAAAGAAAGGAGUGGCUCGCUCCUGUCAUUCUUGGGUCCUUUUUGCAAUGGCAAAGCAAGGAAUCGAAAUAAACUAGCCUCCUUCAUCGCA